rnacentral:lncRNA from 1 species
UCCGGGAAUUGGUGAUAGACAGGGAAGCCUGGAGUGCUGCAGUCCAUGGGACUGCAAAGAGUUGGAUAUGACUGAGCAACUGAACUGUUUUACUGAGUGUAACUAUCUCCUAAAAGCCCUGAGCACUUUCAUUUUUGCAUUUUAGGAAUAGGGGUUAAAAUAUCAUCCAUUGCAUGUGGACAUUGUAAAGAUAAUAUGAAGCAAUGUGUGAGGAGUACGCUACUGCAUGUUAGGCUGAGGGACAGGGAGUUAGGAUGCUCCUGAUUCUAAUGAAUUUGUGAAGAAUUGCCAUACCAAGGCCUGGCCUGACCACCUCCAGAUGUCUUCCACUUGAGAGAUAAACCCUCAAGUGUUUAAAUCAUUAUCAUUUUGAAUUCUUUUUUUUUUCCCCCACUGGGAGCCAAAUCCAAUCCUGAUUUGUUUCGUACAGGCAUAACAGCACAUAUUAUUUGAUGAACAUGCUGGAGAGGAAACAUGAAUCUUUGAGUACGGGGUUGGAGAGGAGCAAUCCUAGCAGUUCCCGACCUGUACCUUUCCAAGUUGGUGUCAUAUGAUCACGACCAUCCAUGUUUUUAGUAUCAGGAGCCAUCUUGGAAAAUCACACAGUCCCAGGCAAACCAGGGUGGCUGGCCACCCCAGUAGGCUAACUGGCUUAUAUCUUCUGGUCUGAAGAGGCAGAACAUCAACAUUCAUUUGAUUCUCUUCAGUGAUCACAGGCAGGUAAGAAUGGAAGAAGGGAUCCUGGAGGAGUUUUUAUCUCCCUUUGAUAUCCAUCGGCAGUCCCUCUACCCCAAGCCACUUCAAAUAAACAUGUAUUCUAAGUAAAAACAGCAACUUGCUAAGCAAACCCAGCCUUAAGACAAAUCUCACAGCAUUCUUCUUANNNNNNNNNNNNNNNNNNNNNUCCUACUGUACUUAUUGGUCAAGUUUUUAUUAAGCUAUGUGGUUCUGACAUUUUCCCCCACUUAUAAUCAGCUGUUCUGUUUGUGGAGAUCUUUCCUUGGUGUGUAAUAGAUUUAUUAACAUAGGUGUCUGUGACGUGAUUUAUAGGAAGAAAUACAUAUUUGGUCUUCAUUCCCAUUUCUGGCACAGAGCUCCUAAAACCCUUAGAAUUUCUAGCCACAAAGGUGUCUUUUGUUAGUCAGGUGACUUUUGGAAAGCAACCAAGGGUGGGGCCUGGUUGCCAGGAGAAGCAACAAUGUGAUUAGAGGGUUGAAACUUUCAGUCUCACCUCCAUGAGUUCUAGGGAGGGGAGAGGGGCUGGAGGAAUGAAUUGGCCAAUGCCAGUGAUUUAAUCAAUCAUGCCCAUGUAAUAAAACCAUCAUAAAAACCCAAAAGAAAAAAAAAAACAAACCCAAAAGGACUGGGUUUGGAGAGCUUCUAGGUUGAUGAACAUAUGGAUAUGCUGAGAGAGUAGCGUGCCUGGAGAGGGCAUAGAAACUUUUUGCCCUUUCCCCUUACCUUGUCCCAUGCAUCUCUUCCAUAGCGAUGUUACUGAGUUAUAUCCUUUCAUAAUAAACUGAGUAAAUGGAUUUCCUGAAUUCUGUGAGUCAUUCUAGAAAAUUAAUCAAACUAGGCAGAGAAGGAGGAAUGUGGAGUCUCUGAUUUAUAGUCAGUCGAUCAGGAGUGCAGGUACAAGCCUGAACUUAUACUCAAUCUUAUGGGACUGAGACCUUAACCUAUGGGAUCUGAUGCUAGUUCUGGGUAGAUAUGUUCAGUUCUGAACUGAAUUGCAGAAUACCCAGCUGGCAUUGGAGAAUUUCUUGGUGGUUGGGGAAAAACCCGCAUCUACAGUGAAAUUGGGUACAGAACUUUCAAUGACAGUAUUUAGGGCUAUUCACAAAUAUUCUGGUUCCUCUCUUUCUGAUCACAUGGCCUUUCUCCUGCGUACUGACCAAACCUCCAGAUGUUAGGACUUGCCUUCCGCAUAAUA